CCCACUUCUGAACUGCCUGGCAGGCGGUGACUGAGGAAAGGAAGAAGACGACGACGAGAAGGCGGCGCCCGCCUGCCUUUUCCACCCUCUUGCCACACACCAGGGCCAACGAAGUGCCCAAAAAGCGCGGCUUCCGUCUUCUUUCUGGAAUUCUCAGUCCUGUCCGCGGGAUCUCUUGGCGUUCGUUUGUUGGAAACAAGAAGCAAUGAAUAUGAUGGGACUUACUCCUAAGUAAAAGACUUGCUGCCUCAGAACUGAAAUGUCAAUAGGAUCUUUACUUUUUGUUUCUCCUUCCACUGCUGCUCUUGCUGCUCAUAACAUCAUUUUAUUAUCAAAGAAUGGUAGAGAAAAGUGGAGCAAAGCUAAUAGUCUUUCUCUUGUAGUCUCUCUGGAUGUAGUCUUUUCAUAAGUGUCUUGAACUUGACCUCUUUUGAACGACACAAAGGUCCAACACACAUUUUAAAAAGUUAUAUUUAAAUUUUAAUAUUUUUUUUUAAUUCUGCAAAGCUAUUUAAUGACACACUCUCAAAACACAGAGCAUAAAUCUUUUAGGAUGGUCAUAGAAUAGAAACUGAUGGACAAAGCAAAGAAGCUUAGCAAAUGCCCUAAAGCAGCUUUCUUUCUUUUACAUAGAUACCUACUACAGAUGAAUGUUCACAUGAUUUUUAAAAAGCUUUAUUAUGAUUUAAUCACCAUGGUGCUGAUACUAAAGAUAUAAUUUAGUAAAGAAUGGAGUUUGCUUUUUUAAUACCCCACCCCUCAUUAUAAAAAUGUUCUUUGUAGUGAGGCAAUGGGGGCAUUAGAAAGAUUUACAGUAACAAUAUAAGUGACUAUAAUGAACUUGGGAACAAGGGAGUAUUGUUAUGAUAGAGAUCUUCUAGCAUUUCUAUCAGCACAAAUAUUGAGGGACACAGUCUCCUUUCUGUGUAUCUGUAUAUUAAUAUUAACAUGAGCAGUAAUUACAGGUACUUGGGAUAAAGUUUAUUUAUGAGAACAUAAUGCUUAAAGGUAAGAGUUGUAAAAAUUAAAGAUACCUACCCGUAACAAAACCAUUAUCAACCAUGUUUUUUCUGCAAUAUUUCAAUUAUGUUUAUUCAGAAUAUCUCAGCAUCUUUAUAUUCUACUAAUAUUAAUAUUAAUUGUGCAAACUUUAUUUCAGCUCCUAAUAUAGCUGAGCUUGGGGACUUGUCCUUAUUUAUUGAAGGACAGAACUGGCCACAUCAUCAUUUGUGUAACUAAAAACUCCUCAAAUCCUGCUGGUACAGCAUUGAUCUUUUACAAGCCUUAUUAAAUGAAAAGUUGGUAACCUACAUAGACGGUUUUGUUUCCUACCUUCCAAGUUUUACCUUAAAAUUUUUACAUCUUGCUAUUUAUCUUUUUAAAUAGAAGAGCCUGUUCCUACAUGUCAGUGAUUCAGUGCAACUAUUACCAAAAUCAUCACAAAGCUUUGAUCAAAGAAGAGAUAAGCAAGGAUAGUAUCCAGAUAGCAUUUUUACAACACUACAUCAGACUUUUCCAGUUAAUACUCUGAGUUUAGAUAGCCUCAGAAAAUACCAUAAGAUAAAAUGGGUUUUGUUCUAUUUGUCUGCCCCAUUCUUACCUGUCAAUUGUUUCAGACAAGCAAAUGAUGGAAACAACUGUGAUAGAAUUUGACCAGUUUUUAAGAGUUGUCAUGGCACAUGUGACCAGAACUUGUGUAAAAUUUUUAAAGGAUGAAUUCACCAUGAACACACUGCAAUCACACUGGAAGUAUAGCAGUCUGGUCUCCAUUGAAAGUAAUAGGAAAUAAUGAGUAUUGGACCUAAAAGUUACCAGGCCACAUACAUAGAAAGCAGCUAACCACUACCUGUGGCUCAUGGGCUAUGAGUUGGUCAAACGUCUUACAAAGAUGAGCACAAUUUGGAAGUAGUUGAAAUAGAAAACAAACAUUCAAAGAAACAUGUAAAACAUUUUACUACAUGUCAGCCUUUGUUACUGAUAAGAAUAUUAUUAUUUUAAAUAGACUGUCCUCUCAUAUAGUUUGCAUAGUAAUUAGUAGUUGGCUUUAACCCUUAACAGUUCAGCUAGUUUGUAUUUGUAAAAUAAGGUUUCAUGCUGGAAACAAAAAUAAGAACUUCCAUAGGUUUUCAUAUUUCAUAUUCUUCAUAUUUUCAUAUGGGUUAGAUCAGCUUUUGUAAAUCUCUGCCAAGAUAUUUUCAAAAUUAUAACCAACAUUAUACAGUAUUUAAAGGUAUCAACAUGUAUUUGCAAAUCUGGGUUUACCAACAUUUUCUCCAAAUGUCCCUUUUUUCCGCUGACAUAUUGUCACAUCAAGAGUUGUUUUCAAGUCUAGUUUGUCAAAGAACCAAGCAAACAAACAACCUUUGAAAGGAUUUUUUGCAAAGAAAGAAGUAAUAAACACAGUGUUAAAUAUUGUUCUCUUGCUUAUACUUUUUUCCUUUUAGUUGCUAUCAUAGUGCCUACAUUAGUCCAGAAAGUCAAACAGGGCAAUGUGAAAUUUAUAUUGUUCUUUUGUAAUAAACAUACAGUUCCAUUUUAAGUUUGUAUGAAUGUACCAUACUGAUAUUGUCAAGUGAAAGAACAUCUAUCUUAAAUCUUUGAGCAGUAGAUACCUUUGGAGAUAAAAAGUAAAAUUAUAAUGUGUUAAUGACAAUGCUAACAUUGUGACUCAUACACUAAACCGAGACCCCUAUCAAUUUUGUGUGUUAGUAAUUAUACUUGUCAAUGCUAUUUCUUCUAAACUCUGCUUUCCUAUAUUCCGCAUUCUGUGACCAUGAAUAUACCAGUCCUCACUUUUUGAGAAUUCAUCUAAGGUUUUUCUCUUAAAAUUAUUUUAAUUUUCUGAAAGUAAUGAUUCUUUCAGAUUGCUAUUAGCCAUCUUUUAUAGAUGGGUGGUGUGAAGAAGGAAUUAAUUUCGAAAUUAUCUUUUUUCACUUAUGUAACAGAACUAAUUGUUGAGGUUUUGGACUGGAACUGAAUAAAUUCAAGAUUAGGUCUUCAUUUGAGCAAGGAAUCCUGGAUAACUUGAAAUAGGUUAAGAUAUAGUGAUUGACCCAACAUUAUAAGCAAAAAAGAUGUAAAAAUGAUAACCAAUAAAAUAAAUAUUAAGAUAUUAAAAAGAUUAUUGUCUUUUAUUAAUGUUUAUUUUAGAUACUCUUAUGCUACCUCUCAAAGUGAUAUGGAUAAAUAAAUGCAUACAAAUAAUAUUAAACAAAUGAAAACAAGCUAUGAUACUCCAUAAUAUCAAACCCACGAUGCUCACUUUUCUUCCAUCAAAAAUUCCUGUUUAAUCUGGAU